UUCCCUUCCUCCCUUCCCCUCUCUCCCUCUCUCUGUCUUUGUUCUGUUUUGUUUUUGUUUUUUUGUUGUGAUCUUGAGAUAAAGUCUAUCAACAAGUUGCUCAGAUUUUACUUAAGCUUUCUCUGUAGCUAAGCUGACCUUGCAAUUCUCUUGCCUCAGCCUCCUAAAUAGCUGGGAUCACAGGCAUGGGCUGCUAAACUGGUCAUUCCUGCCCAACAGAGCACCCCUCCCUGCCUCCUUCCUCUCUUUGCCUCCUCUCCUCUCCUGCUUUCACUUUCCCUUCCCUCUCUUCUCUUCCUCUACCCUUUCCCCCGUCAGGUCUCAGUGGAUAUGUUCCUGGCUCUGCCCCAUCAAGAGGAGGGUCUGAAGGUGAAAGGAAAAUAGCAAACAGAGAUGCGUUGUACAUGGGGCAUGACUUACCCAAGAACCCAGAUCAUCUGCUUCCAGGAGCUCAGCCUUUACCUAAGACCGGUGCAGUCACUUUCUGAGCAGAGUCAAGCCUUAGAUAACAAAGGAAUGUGUCAAUUACACUCCAUCCUCUAUUUUCAGUCCCCUCCUUCUGCUUCCCGGCCUCUCAGGGGAUGCCUUCAGAGGACAACUUCCUUUGAAAGGUUGAGUUCCUGAUUUUACCAUUCACAAUCUCAGCAAACCUGACCCGUGUUCUGCUUUCACAGUGCGUGGUAUCAAAGCCAGCGCAUGACCCAGGAUAACUCUGUUCCUCAGCUAUAACUUCACUUCUGGAGCUUGACCUUUUCAUCAUUACAAUAAUGCCUAUCUGAGAAUAUUUAUAUGUAAAAGAAUGCCAAUAAAAUCAAUACACAAAUAA